rnacentral:rRNA from 1 species
GACGAACGCUGGCGGCGUGCUUAACACAUGCAAGUCGAACGGAAAGGCCCUGCUUUUGUGGUAUGCUCGAGUGGCGAACGGGUGAGUAACACGUGAGUAACCUGCCCUUUACUUUGGUAUAACUUCAGGAAACUGGGGCUACUACCGGAUAGGCGCUCCUGCUGCAUGGUGGGGGUUGGAACGUUUCGCCGGUCGUGGAUGGACUCGCGGCUUAUCAGCUUGUUGGUGGGGUAGUGGCUUACCAACGCUUUCACGGGUAGCCGGCCUGCGAGGGUGACCGGCAACAUGGGGGCUGAGCUAGGGCCCAGACUCCUACGGGCGGCAACAGUGGGGAAGAUUGAACGAGGGGCGGAUGGCUGAUGCAGCAACGCCGCGUGCGGGAUGACGGCCUUCGGGUUGUAACCCGCUUUCGCCUGUCACGAAGCGUGAGUGACGGUAAUGUGUAAAGAAGCACCGGCUAACUACGUU